UGGGGAAUUUUCCGCAAUGGGCGAAAGCCUGACGGAGCAAUACCGCGUGAGGGAGGAUUGCCUUUGGGUUGUAAACCUCUUUUCUCAGGGAAGAAGAUCUGACGGUACCUGAGGAAUAAGUAUCGGCUAACUCCGUGCCAGCAGCCGCGGUAAUACGGAGGAUGCAAGCGUUAUCCGGAAUCAUUGGGCGUAAAGCGUCCGCAGGUGGUUUCCAAAGUCUGCUGUUAAAGACUGGAGCUCAACUCCGGAACGGCGGUGGAAACUUGGAAACUAGAGUUCGGUAGGGGUAGCAGGAAUUCCCAGUGUAGCGGUGAAAUGCGUAGAUAUUGGGAAGAACAUCGGUGGCGAAGGCGUGCUACUGGACCGUAACUGACACUCAGGGACGCAAGCUAGGGGAGCGAAAGGGAUUAGAUACCCCUGUAGUCCUAGCUGUAAACGAUGGAAACUAGGUGUGGCUUGA
rnacentral:rRNA from 1 species